UCGCCGUUUAUGGCAAAACGGACGCGCGAGGCAAUGGUGCGCGGCAGAGCCAGACGGACGACGGAGACACACCCCCGCAGCCCCACAGCACAGCGUUUCCUCAGGUCGUUUCCCCAAAGUGCAGUCACUAUCACAGGCCGUGCAAACAGUCCAAACGCAGUUUUCUGCAGAAGGGAGGAGCAGCUACUCUCUUCUCAGAACGAAUGGCAGCACCUGCGUCACCUCGCCGGCCACCAGCUCACGCCCCUGUCAGCUGCAAGCUGUUGAUGCUUCCCUCGCACUAGAACCAAGUACACAAAAAGAUUAUGUGUAAGAAAUACAUACUUUAGACUCUCAAAAAGGAACAUUAGCUCACUAGGACUAGCAAUGAAAACAUUAAACUAUCUCAAAGUUUAGGAAGUAAAGUAAAAGGGUAAAAAAAAAAAAGCAGAUGUUUUUCCCCAAUCAUGAAAUUGUAACACCGCAGGUAAAAAUUAUUUAUCUGUUGAUGCACUAUAUGUAUCCAUAGUUCACACACACACACGCAUAAAACCUUUUCUCAGUCUCCAAGAAUCACUUUUCACCCCAUCCCAGUCGCUACUGCACCACUGAGAAUGUCUUGAUGAUAGAGUGUGCAGGAUUGGAGGAAGGUGCUUCUGUAUCCUUGUAGCACCCCAAGCAAGGGAGGAAGGAGAAGACACCUGGGCCUAAUGAAGAAAAAAAAAAAAAACACUUGUGUGUGUUCAGCACGCUCUGGAGACAGCCUGAGCAAACAGCAGGAAGAGCAACUGGGAGGACUAGGAAGUGUCGUGAAAGGGGCCACCUCAGGGGAGAGACGUCCGCAGUGCCCACCUGUGGAGUAGAUGGGAGAAUCAAGAUUUAUUUAUUCAUGCAGGCAAGAACUGGGGUACAGGCCAGAUGCACGGGAGGGUGAGAGGACUCACCAGAGACAGAGCAAGGAACAAAACAGGAAGACUGACAAAAUACACCGCUGAGGGGAGCAGUGGGCGAAACAGGAGCGCCAUGUGGGAUUCUCGUCGGCAGGCCAGGAUCAAACCGACGCAACAGAGGCUGUGGACAGCUUCACAGCGCUGUGCUCAACCCGCUGCGCCACCAGGGGAGGCCCAAAAAUAAAUAAAAUCUUUAAACAAAAACACAAACUUUGAAUUCGAAAUCGGUAGAGUUCUUGUAUGCAUAAAUAAAUACAAAUGCAUGAAUAAAUAAAA